rnacentral:ncRNA from 1 species
GCCUUGUGCAUAUAUCUUGUUAUACAUAAAGAAAUGUUAACCAUAAAUACAAGGCAUAUAUGGAUUCAUUGGAACUAUAAAGACAUUCUCCAGAUGAUCAGCCACACUGGGAGUGAGACACGGCCCAGACUCAUACGGGAGGCAGCAGUGGGGAAUUUUCCGCAAUGGGUGAAAGCCUGACGGAGC